UAAAGUUAGCUCAGGCAGCCGUCGAGCAUGUGCACUCACCAGAGGUCGACUUCAUUUUUCAGCUACCGGUAUCUUCGAAUUCAUCACCUCCGUUUUCCGGUUCAAGUGAGAAACAGGUGUACAACAGCUCUCUCUGACUGGAAGGUCUCCGCGUGUGAUGUUGAUCUCCAUGUUGCCUGCACCACGGAGCAGAAAGACCGGCCAAAGAGCGAGAGACGGCAGCUGAAACAGCAGACAACAGCCCCAUCUACAGAUUCUUUUCAGUCACUGUGAUACAGAGUGGACACGAGCUGGUGUGACACUUGAAUUUCCCUGCAUGGAAUCAAAAAUGUUUGAUAUUCAUAUUGGAAUUAAAGGAGAACUAAAAAUGGCUCAGUUUAUUCUUUCAGAGUGUCUUUAUUUAAGUAUAUCAUUGGCUCUGCAUCUCACCGCAAGGUCUUCCAGGAAUAGCUGUGACUCCAAAU